AGCUCCAUGAGUGUAUAUUAAAGUUGUUGCGGUUAAAAAGUUCGUAGUCUAAUUUCGACUCGCUGUCUUGCGGUCGCUCAAGAUGAGUGUACUGCAGUGACGAGGGUCAUUAUUUCUCAAUGCAGUGUUGAGUAAUUAAGUUUGCUUUUCAUGUGCUUGGGAUCAAUUACUGUGAACAAAUCAAAGCGUUCAAAGCAGGUGUUUUCACCAUUGAAUGUUCAAGCAUGGGAUAAUGGAAUAUGAUUUUGUAUCUUUUCGUUGGUCUAAGAUAUAAGAUAAUGAUUAAUAGGAGUGAAUGGGGCCAUUAGUAUAAAAGAGUAAGAGGUGAAAUUCGAUGAUCUCUUUUAGACUAACUGAUGCGAAGGCGUUUGGCAAGUGCACAUCCA
rnacentral:rRNA from 1 species